ensembl:lncRNA
UGCCCCUUGUCCCUCCACAUCCAUAGUUCCCCACCUUUUCCCGCUUCAGGGCAGGUUCCUAAUCUGUGUCAGUGUCCCCCUCGGACCUCGUGGUACCCCCACGCUAGGAGUGGCCAAUUUCAACUUUCAAAAAUUGCCUGCACCAAAUGCCUCUGGGGGAUGCCCUACCCUGUCUCCACCUGUCAAAUACAAUCCGAUCAAACUUUAUUUGCCAAUUGCAAGGGACAGAAGUCAGCUGACAAUUGAAAUGCUUAUUAGUUCACUGGUUAGAUAAAGUGGAAAUUAUUACAUAAUUCUGAGCGACUAAAUAAACACCUUAAAUAAAGAAACGAUGCGGUUAAGUUGUGUGUUGUGCAAAAGGGUUGAUUUAGGGGAAAUGAGUGUGAAAUAAUGGUUGGUUUGGCAAGAGCUGUGUUACUGUCACUUUAACAAUGUACAGUUUGUUGUGGUGUGAGACUCUCAGGUCAGGAUAUUUGCUUGUCUGAGCAGCUGAGCCUUAGCAUGGAGAGAAUCUGUAGGAGGUAUUCAGAGCACGUCUUACUGUGCUACCCUCGUCAAGUGUGAAGUUAACUAGUUGACAUCGUAUGGAUACUUGUAUGUGUAUGUUGCAUUUGGAGUGUCUGAAGGAAUGUAACUGAACUGGUAUACACCUCUACUUUCUGUCUCGUCCCUUCUUUCUAUCUGAUUCUCACUCCAUUUUUUUCUCUCACUAUCUGAGCACCUUGAACCUGUCCAUCUCCUCCUCUCCUCAUUUUCCUGGCAGAAGGGGGGGAGACAUCCUGUCUGUAUCAUCUUUGGGUGGACACAGCCUAUUUCAACUUUCAAUGCUGCUGUUUUUUUUUUUAUCAAGAAAAAGACCAGAUAAUCAGAGUGUGAGAUGACUAUGACCAACAUUCCUUACUUCAUUCUUUUGCACCGUAAGAAGGUGACGCUCACUCCCGUUGAAAUAAGUUCACGCAUUCGCUGUGUCACACAUGCUUCCCCUGCAGCAUAACCUUCUGAAUAGCAUUGGCAGUGAAGCACAAAUGAAUACCGUCAGUCUAUAUCGAUUGACAGGCACAGUACAUGUUUGAGUGCUAUGAGUGAGUAGUAAAACUAGCUGCUCUGUAACGUAAUAUGGUGAUAUUAUAUAACAACACAGUCUACAGACUAAGCCUGCUGCAUUCCUUGGAAACACAGUUGUUAGUAAAGUUCCCUUGGCUGUAGUGUCCUAGCCCCUAAAAUAGCAUGUGGGCAUUUUCAUGUAGUGGUCAGGGGACUUCAACUGUCAAAAUGAGAUUCUCUUACUCAGUUGAACAGAGAGUGACUCGUCAAAACCUAACCAGGCAGUGCAUUGAAGACGCGUCUGUCUAUAUGUUGCAUUAGUAGGCUCUUAUGUAGUAGUUGGAUAUGACUAUGGUCUAGAUCCGGGAAUGUUCAGUACAGCUGAGCAAUGGCCAGCAUCACACUGGACCAACCACAGCUGACGGAUAUGGGCUGGUGCUGAGGACAGCGAUGUGCCAGACAGAUGGACAGUGACGAAAGAACGCGAGAUAAAGAUGUCACCGGAGCAGAGAG